GUGAGGCUCUGGACGCUUCGCCCGGGCUCAUGUUACCCCCAGCCUCCCUCCUGGGAAUCAUCUUGACGGCAUGCACAUAGAAAUUCCUCUUUCAUGUUUGGAAAGGCAUGGCCUCUCUUUCAGUGAAUCAGCUGAACCAAAACAGUCACGUUGAACCACCGAAGCCCCGUGUUUGUGCAGCACCUCGAAAAAAAUGCAUGUGUUU
rnacentral:lncRNA from 1 species